CCUACGGGAGGCAGCAGUGGGGAAUAUUGGACAAUGGGCGAAAGCCUGAUCCAGCAAUGCCGCGUGAGUGAUGAAGGCCUUCGGGUCGUAAAGCUCUUUUACCAGGGAUGAUAAUGACAGUACCUGGAGAAUAAGCUCCGGCUAACUCCGUGCCAGCAGCCGCGGUAAUACGGAGGGAGCUAGCGUUGUUCGGAAUUACUGGGCGUAAAGAGUACGUAGGCGGUUAUUCAAGUCAGAGGUGAAAGCCCGGGGCUCAACCCCGGAACUGCCUUUGAAACUAGAUAACUAGAGUCUUGGAGAGGUUAGUGGAAUUCCGAGUGUAGAGGUGAAAUUCGUAGAUAUUCGGAAGAACACCAGUGGCGAAGGCGACUAACUGGACAAGUACUGACGCUGAGGUACGAAAGCGUGGGGAGCAAACAGGAUUAGAUACCCUGGUAGUCCACGCCGUAAACGAUGAUAACUAGUUGUUCGGUCACUUGGUGACUGAGUGACGCAGCUAACGCAUUAAGUUAUCCGCCUGGGGGAGGUACGGUCGCGAGAGUAAACUAACAAAGAAGUAGAGCGUGUAGAGUUGCGACGACGACGACGAGGGAGGAGG
rnacentral:rRNA from 1 species